rnacentral:rRNA from 1 species
UACGUAGGCAGCAAGCGUUGUUCGGAGUUACUGGGCGUAAAGGGUGCGUAGGCGGCUUUUUAAGUUUGGUGUGAAAUCUCCCGGCUCAACUGGGAGGGUGCGCCGAAUACUGAGAGGCUAGAGUGUGGGAGAGGAAAGUGGAAUUCCUGGUGUAGCGGUGAAAUGCGUAGAUAUCAGGAGGAACACCGGUGGUGUAAACGGCUUUCUGGACCAUAACUGACGCUGAGGCACGAAAGCGUGGGUAGCGUAUGGG